rnacentral:misc_RNA from 1 species
AACAUCGCGCACCUGCGGGAACCUGCGGAAGGAUCAUUACCGAGUUUACAACUCCCAAACCCAAUGUGAACGUUACCAAACUGUUGCCUCGGCGGGAUCUCUGCCCCGGGUGCGUCGCAGCCCCGGACCAAGGCGCCCGCCGGAGGACCAACCAAAACUCUUUUGUAUACCCCCUCGCGGGUUUUUUAUAUCUGAGCCAUCUCGGCGCCUCUCGUAGGCGUUUCGAAAAUGAAUCAAAAC